AGACGAACCGUACGAACGUUAUUCGGAAUCACUGGGCUUAAAGAGUGCGUAGGCGGCUUUGUAGGUGGGGUGUGAAAUCCCUCGGCUCAACCGAGGAACUGCGCUCCAAACCACAAGGCUUGAGGGAGAUAGAGGUGAGCGGAACUGAUGGUGGAGCGGUGAAAUGCGUUGAUAUCAUCAGGAACACCGGUGGCGAAGGCGGCUCACUGGGUCUCUUCUGACGCUGAGGCACGAAAGCUAGGGUAGCGAACGGGAUUAGAAACCCCAGUAGUCC
rnacentral:rRNA from 1 species